AUAAUUUGUAUAUAGAUAUUGUUCUCUAGCCCCAUCUAGUGGCCAGGGGCCAAAUACCAAUCAGUAUUGUUUGGAAGCUGACCUUUUACCCAACAACACUCACUCCCGAAACAAGUGCAUGCUGGGAAGCCAGACUCCAUUUCCUGUAGCAUUUGGAAGGAAACAGAAGCACCAGGAAGAAUCCAGGGUAAUCCAUGGCACAUGUUCAUCCAAGGACAAAAAUCCACAUCCCACACACACACCAUUGCUAUUUCAUCCAUCCUGUUCCAUAUCCCAAAAGAAUUAUGCUAACAGAUGUGUGAAAUGCAGUAAUUGAAAUAAAAUCUUUAUGGAAAAAGGGAGAAAAUAAAACAUUAAGAUAAAAUGUAAUUGUGGACCCCAAGAAUAAUCAGAAUAUAAAAGAAUGCCGGGUGAGCGAGGGGCGGAUCUGCCAUGGUUUCCCAUUCGAGCUGCUUUUGGAACUGCAUCUGGAGGCUUUGGGGUGAGCCUGAAGAAAAUCUCUGUCUGAUAGAGAAAGACCAUUCACUCCUCAAGAAGAAUGAAACAGCCAAUUAGACUGCCGAGAUACUGGUGAAAAUCAAUUUGAUAUUUGCAGUAAACCUGGAUGGUCCUCUGUUUUCAGAAAACUACGCUGCUGAGUGUGCCCUCCAGCUAGCUCAGCUGUCAAAGAAGCUUAGAGAACUCAACCAAGCCCUCGCUGUCAAGGAGGCCCUGGCUCAGAAUCUGGCUCAGAUUGACCAUCAGUCACAAGAGGAAGACAUUUUGAAAGACAUAGUGUUUGUCCAAAUCAGCCCGUUCAGGCUGGGUAAAAGCACCCAGGAGGAAGACAUAAGCCUGGAAUGGAUGCAGUAUCUUCAAGAGAAUAGGUUCAGGCUGAGGAAACUCAUCCAUUCUGAUUUCUCAAGUGAAAUUAUACAAUCAGACUGGAUAAAAGCACCCGGGUGACGCAAAGAGACACUUUCUUUGAGCCUUCCUCCCGAAAAGAAAGGAAGACAUUUUGAAAGACUUGGCAUUUCUCCAAAUCAGCCCAUUCAGUCUGGAUUAAAGCACCGAGGUCUCUGAAGGAAGAAUGGAGCCAGACACCAUGGAAGCCUCUCAGAACAGCGCCUCAUCUCAUUCCCGCCACUUGCACCUACCAUGCUGCUGCCCAGAAUGAAGUAAUGUCAAAUAAAUUUCUUAAACUAAUUCUUCUUAUACUUAUUCUUUAUAAUAAAGUAUUGCAUUUCAGAAUAUAAAAA